rnacentral:tRNA from 1 species
GCCGAGGUAGCUUAGAUCGGGAGAUAAAAAGACCCGUUAGCGCUGGACUGAAGAUCCAGUUGUCGUGAGUUCAAAUCUCACCCUCGGCGCCA